rnacentral:rRNA from 1 species
GAUCAACGCUGGCGGCGUGCAUGAGACAUGCAAGUCGAACGAAGGAUCGGGCUUGCUCGAUCCUUAGUGGCGGACGGCUGAGUAACGCGUAGGUGACCUACCCCGAAGUGGGGAAUAACUGCCCGAAAGGGUGGCUAAUACCGCAUGUGGUCGCACGUUCAUUCGUGCGAGUAAAGCCGCAAGGCGCUUCGGGAGGGGCCUGCGUCCGAUUAGCUCGUUGGUGGGGUAAUGGCUUACCAAGGCGACGAUCGGUAGGUGGUCUGAGAGGACGAUCACCCAGACUGGGACUGAGACACGGCCCAGACGCCUACGGGAGGCAGCAGUCGGGAAUUGUGCUCAAUGGGGGAAACCCUGAAGCAGCAACGCCGCGUGAGGGAUGAAGGCCUUCGGGUUGUAAACCUCUUUUGUCAGGGACGAUGAUGACGGUACCUGGCGAAUAAGCCACGGCUAACUACGU